GCGGCGCAGUGGCUCAGUGUGUCUGGCUAUUAACCAGGAGGUUGGUGGUUCGAGUCCACCCAGGGAUC
rnacentral:tRNA from 1 species